rnacentral:rRNA from 1 species
GAUGAACGCUAGCGGCAGGCCUAACACAUGCAAGUCGAGGGGUAUAGUUCUUCGGAACUAGAGACCGGCGCACGGGUGCGUAACGCGUAUGCAAUCUACCUUUUACAGGGGAAUAGCCCAGAGAAAUUUGGAUUAAUGCCCCAUAGUGUUAUAGAAUCGCAUGGUUUUAUAACUAAAGUUCCAACGGUAAAAGAUGAGCAUGCGUCCCAUUAGUUAGUUGGUAAGGUAACGGCUUACCAAGACAAUGAUGGGUAGGGGUCCUGAGAGGGAGAUCCCCCACACUGGUACUGAGACACGGACCAGACUUCUACGGGAGGCAGCAGUGAGGAAUAUUGGACAAUGGGCGCAAGCCUGAUCUAGCCAUGCCGCGUGCAGGAAGACGGUCCUAUGGAUUGUAAACUGCUUUUGUACAGGAAGAAACACUCCCUCGUGAGGGAGCUUGACGGUACUGUAAGAAUAAGGAUCGGCUAACUCCGUG